AUUGAACGCUGGCGGCAGGCUUAACACAUGCAAGUCGAACGGUAGCACAGUAUCAGCUUGUGCUGAGGGGCGGAGAGGGGCGUACGGGUGCGGAAUAUACCCGAAUCUACGGUUUAGUGGGGCAUAACGUAGGGUAACUCACGCUAAUACCUCAUACUACCUACGGGUGAAAGCAGGGCAUUUUUGGACCUCGCGCGAUUGAAUGAGCCGAUGUCGGAUUAGCUAGUUGGCGGGGUAAAGGCCCACCAAGGCGACGAUCCGUAGCUGGUCUGAGAGGAUGGACAGGCACAAUUGAGCUGGGGCACCGUCCAAGAUCCUUCGGGAGGCCGGAGUGGGGAAUAUUGGGCCAUGGGCGGAAGCCUGGUCCAGCCAUACCGCGUGGGUGGAAGAGGCCUUCCGGUUGUUAAGCCCUUUUGUUGAGGAAGAAAAGCGUGACGUUAAUAACCCGCUGUUCUGACGGUACCCAGAAGAUUAGGCCCGGCUAACUUCGUG
rnacentral:rRNA from 1 species